rnacentral:rRNA from 1 species
ACGCUGGCGGCACGCCUUAUACAUGCAAGUCGAACGGAGUAGCAAUACUCAGUGGCAGACGGGUGAGUAACAUGUGGGUAUCUUCCCUUUGGUGAGGAAUAACACGAGGAAACUUGUGCUAAUACCUCAUAAGUCUUUACGGAGAAAGCUUUAUGCGCCAAUGGAUGAGCCCGCACUUGAUUAGUUUGUUGGUGGGGUAAUGGCCUACCAAGACUGUGAUCAAUAGCUGAUUUGAGAGGAUGAUCAGCCACAUUGGGACUGAGACACGGCCCAAACUCCUACGGGAGGCAGCAGUAGGGAAUCUUGCACAAUGGAGGAAACUCUGAUGCAGCGAUGCCGCGUGAGUGAAGAAGGCCUUUGGGUUGUAAAGCUCUUUCGUCGGGGAAGAAAAUGACUGUACCCGAAUAAGAAGGUCCGGCUAACUUCGUGCCAGCAGCCGCGGUAAUACGAAGGGACCUAGCGUAGUUCGGAAUUACUGGGCUUAAAGAGUUCGUAGGUGGUUAAAAAAGUUGGUGGUGAAAUCCCAGAGCUUAACUCUGGAACUGCCAUCAAAACUUUUUAGCUAGAGUAUGAUAGAGGAAAGCAGAAUUUCUAGUGUAGAGGUGAAAUUCGUAGAUAUUAGAAAGAAUACCGAUUGCGAAGGCAGCUUUCUGGAUCAUUACUGACGCUGAGGAACGAAAGCAUGGGUAGCGAAGAGGAUUAGAUACCCUCGUAGUCCAUGCCGUAAACGAUGUGUGUUAGAUGUUGGAAAUUUAUUUUCAGUAUCGCAGCGAAAGCAAUAAACACACCGCCUGGGGAGUACGACCGCAAGGUUAAAACUCAAAUGAAUUGACGGGGACCCGCACAAGUAGUGGAGCAUGUGGUUUAAUUCGAAGAUACGCGCAGAACCUUACCAACACUUGACAUGUUCGUCGCGACUCUAAGAGAUUAGAGUUUUCGGUUCGGCCGGACGAAACACAGGUGCUGCAUGGCUGUCGUCAGCUCGUGUCGUGAGAUGUUGGGUUAAGUCCCGCAACGAGCGCAACCCUUACUUUUAGUUGCCAUCAUUUAGUUGGGCACUCUGAAAGAACUGCCAGUGAUAAGCUGGAGGAAGGUGGGGAUGACGUCAAGUCCUCAUGGCCCUUAUGUGUUGGGCUACACACGUGCUACAAUGGUAUCUACAACAGGAAGCAAAAUGGCAACAUUAAGCAAAUCCCAAAAAGAUACCUCAGUUCGGAUUGCACUCUGCAACUCGAGUGCAUGAAGCUGGAAUUACUAGUAAUCGUGGAUCAGCGUGCCACGGUGAAUACGUUCCCGGGUCUUGUACACACCGCCCGUCACACCAUGGGAGUUGGUUCUACCUUAAGGCAAGGUUUAAUACCCUUGACCACGGUAUAGUCAGCGACUGGGGUG